UACGGGAGGCAGCAGUGGGGAAUAUUGCACAAUGGGCGCAAGCCUGAUGCAGCCAUGCCGCGUGUAUGAAGAAGGCCUUCGGGUUGUAAAGUACUUUCAGUCGUGAGGAAGGUGUUAAGGUUAAUAACCUUAGCAAUUGACGUUAGCGACAGAAGAAGCACCGGCUAACUCCGUGCCAGCAGCCGCGGUAAUACGGAGGGUGCGAGCGUUAAUCGGAAUUACUGGGCGUAAAGGGCACGCAGGCGGUUAAUUAAGUUGGAUGUGAAAUCCCCGGGCUUAACCUGGGAAUGGCAUUCAAGACUGGUUAGCUAGAGUCUUGUAGAGGGGGUAGAAUUCCAUGUGUAGCGGUGAAAUGCGUAGAGAUGUGGAGGAAAUACCGGUGGCGAAGGCGGCCCCUGGACAAAGACUGACGCUCAUGUGCGAAAAGCGUGGGGAGCAAACAGGAUUAGAUACC
rnacentral:rRNA from 1 species